rnacentral:rRNA from 1 species
GCGGCGUGCCUAAUACAUGCAAGUCGAGCGAGGUUCUUCGGAACCUAGCGGCGGACGGGUGAGUAACACGUGGGUAACCUGCCUAUAAGACUGGGAUAACUUCGGGAAACCGAAGCUAAUACCGGAUACUUUCGAGCAUCGCAUGAUGCUUGAUGGAAAGACGGCUUCGGCUGUCACUUACAGAUGGACCCGCGUCGCAUUAGCUAGUUGGUGAGGUAACGGCUCACCAAGGCGACGAUGCGUAGCCGACCUGAGAGGGUGAUCGGCCACACUGGGACUGAGACACGGCCCAGACUCCUACGGGAGGCAGCAGUAGGGAAUCUUCGGCAAUGGGCGAAAGCCUGACCGAGCAACGCCGCGUGAGCGAUGAAGGCCUUCGGGUCGUAAAGCUCUGUUGUUAAGGAAGAACAAGUACGAGAGUAACUGCUCGUACCUUGACGGUACUUAACGAGAAAGCCACGGCUAACUACGUGCCAGCAGCCGCGGUAAUACGUAGGUGGCAAGCGUUAUCCGGAAUUAUUGGGCGUAAAGCGCGCGCAGGCGGUUUCUUAAGUCUGAUGUGAAAGCCCACGGCUCAACCGUGGAGGGUCAUUGGAAACUGGGGAACUUGAGUGCAGAAGAGGAAAGCGGAAUUCCACGUGUAGCGGUGAAAUGCGUAGAGAUGUGGAGGAACACCAGUGGCGAAGGCGGCUUUCUGGUCUGUAACU